rnacentral:rRNA from 1 species
CAGUCGCCGCGGGAAUACGAAGGGGGCUAGCGUUGUUCGGAAUCACUGGGCGUAAAGCGCACGUAGGCGGACUUUUAAGUCAGGGGUGAAAUCCCAAGGCUCAACCUUGGAACUGCCUUUGAUACUGGAAGUCUUGAGUUCGGGAGAGGUGAGCGGAACUGCGAGUGUAGAGGUGAAAUUCGUAGAUAUUCGCAAGAACACCAGUGGCGAAGGCGGCUCACUGGCCCGAUACUGACGCUGAGGUGCGAAAGCGUGGGGAGCAAACAGGAUUAGAUACCCCUGUAGUCCCUGUCUCUUAUAC